rnacentral:rRNA from 1 species
AACGAACGCUGGCGGCAUGCCUAACAUAUGCAAGUCGAACGAGACCUUCGGGUCUAGUGGCGCACGGGUGCGUAACGCGUGGGAACCUGCCCUUAGGUUCGGAAUAACUCCCCGAAAGGGGUGCUAAUACCGGAUAAUGUCUUCGGACCAAAGAUUUAUCGCCUUUGGAUGGGCCCGCGUUGGAUUAGCUAGUUGGUAGGGUAAAAGCCUACCAAGGCGACGAUCCAUAGCUGGUCUGAGAGGAUGAUCAGCCACACUGGGACUGAGACACGGCCCAGACUCCUACGGGAGGCAGCAGUCGGGAAUAUUGGACAAUGGGCGAAAGCCUGAUCCAGCAAUGCCGCGUGAGUGAUGAAGGCCUUAGGGUUGUAAAGCUCUUUUACCCGGGAUGAUAAUGACAGUACCGGGAGAAUAAGCUCCGGCUAACUCCGUG